UCUCCGUUGGUGAACCAGCGGAGGGAUCAUUACCGAGUUUACAACUCCCAAACCCCUAUGUGAACGUUACCAAACUGUUGCCUCGGCGGGAAAUUCAUGCCCCGGGCGCGUCGCAGCCCCGGACCAAGGCGCCCGCCGGAGGACCAACCAAAACUCUUUUGUAUGUCCCUCGCGGACUUUUAUAAUUCUGAACCAUCUCGGCGCCCCUAGCGGGCGUUUCGAAAAUGAAUCAAAACUCUCAACAACGGAUCUCUUGGUUCUG
rnacentral:misc_RNA from 1 species